CCUACGGGAGGCAGCAGUGGGGAAUCUUGGACAAUGGGGGCAACCCUGAUCCAGCCAUGCCGCGUGAGUGAUGAAGGCCUUAGGGUCGUAAAGCUCUUUCGCCUGUGAAGAUAAUGACGGUAGCAGGUAAAGGAACCCCGGCUAACUCCGUGCCAGCAGCCGCGGUAAUACGGAGGGGACUAGCGUUGUUCGGAAUUACUGGGCGUAAAGCGCGCGUAGGCGGACCAGAAAGUUGGGGGUGAAAUCCCGGGGCUCAACCCCGGAACUGCCUUCAAAACUCCUGGUCUAGAGUUCGAGAGAGGUGAGUGGAAUUCCGAGUGUAGAGGUGAAAUUCGUAGAUAUUCGGAGGAACACCAGUGGCGAAGGCGGCUCACUGGCUCGAUACUGACGCUGAGGUGCGAAAGUGUGGGGAGCAAACAGGAUUAGAUACCCUGG
rnacentral:rRNA from 1 species